UAGAGGGGGGUAGAAUUCCAGGUGUAGCGGUGAAAUGCGUAGAGAUCUGGAGGAAUACCGGUGGCGAAGGCGGCCCCCUGGACAAAGACUGACGCUCAGGUGCGAAAGCGUGGGGAGCAAACAGGAUUAGAUACCCUGGUAGUCCACGCCGUAAACGAUGUCUACUUGGAGGUUGUGCCCUUGAGGCGUGGCUUCCGGAGCUAACGCGUUAAGUAGACCGCCUGGGGAGUACGGCCGCAAGGUUAAAACUCAAAUGAAUUGACGGGGGCCCGCACAAGCGGUGGAGCAUGUGGUUUAAUUCGAUGCAACGCGAAGAACCUUAC
rnacentral:rRNA from 2 species